UACGAAGGGUGCAAGCGUUACUCGGAAUUACUGGGCGUAAAGCGUGCGUAGGUGGUUUGUUAAGUCUGAUGUGAAAGCCCUGGGCUCAACCUGGGAAUUGCAUUGGAUACUGGCAGGCUAGAGUGCGGUAGAGGAUGGCGGAAUUCCCGGUGUAGCAGUGAAAUGCGUAGAGAUCGGGAGGAACAUCUGUGGCGAAGGCGGCCAUCUGGACGAGCACUGACACUGAGGCACGAAAGCGUGGGGAGCAAACAGG
rnacentral:rRNA from 1 species